UAGGGAAUCUUCCGCAAUGGACGCAAGUCUGACGGAGCAACGCCGCGUGAGUGAAGAAGGAUUUCGGUUCGUAAAACUCUGUUGUUAGAGAAGAACAGCGCAUAGAGUAACUGUUAUGCGUGUGACGGUAUCUAACCAGAAAGCCACGGCUAACUACGUGCCAGCAGCCGCGGUAAUACGUAGGUGGCAAGCGUUGUCCGGAUUUAUUGGGCGUAAAGCGAGCGCAGGCGGUCAAUUAAGUCUGAUGUGAAAGCCCCCGGCUCAACCGGGGAGGGUCAUUGGAAACUGGUUGACUUGAGUGCAGAAGAGGAGAGUGGAAUUCCAUGUGUAGCGGUGAAAUGCGUAGAUAUAUGGAGGAACACCAGUGGCGAAGGCGACUCUCUGGUCUGUAACUGACGCUGAGGCUCGAAAGCGUGGGUAGCGAACAGG
rnacentral:rRNA from 1 species